rnacentral:rRNA from 1 species
AUCGCAGGCUGCAACUCGCCUGCGUGAAGUUGGAAUUGCUAGUAAUCGCGGAUCAGCAUGCCGCGGUGAAUACGUUCCCGGGCCUUGUACACACCGCCCGUCACACCAUGGGAGUUUGUAACACCCGAAGUCAGUAUCCUAACCGCAAGGGGGGAGCUGCCGAAGGUGGGAUAAGCGACUGGGGUGAAGUCGUAACAAGGUAUC